AUAGAAACAUAAUUUAGUGUCUAAAAAAUAAAUACUAUGAAAACAGUCAAAUAUUAUGGCUAGUUGGUGCAAAUCCUACAGAUAGGAACCUGUCGUCUGGGCCCAUUUUUCAGAUCAAAUGGUGACUUGCCCCAAAGCCCAUUAGGGUUUCCUUUUAUAUUCCACCAGCCAUGCCUUCCCUUCUCAUAGUGCCAUAUCUCUUCUUCAUCGAUAGGUUCACUCCGGCCAGGAAGUAAAGAGAGUCCCUUCCGUCGUAGCUGAUUCACCAUGAGAGCCAAGUGGAAGAAGAAGCGUAUGAGGAGAUUGAAGAGGAAGCGCCGAAAGAUGAGGCAGAGAUCCAAAUAGAAUCGUGUUGGGCAGUUAUUAGCUUUUGACAUAUCACUCUCGGUUAUUGCGUUUUUGUCUUAAUUUCAGUAUUUGCCGUUAAAUUUCAGUAGUUACAUUUUCCUUAUGGCACCUAAUGUAUUUCUGCUUCUGAGGUGUAUUGAAACUAUGUGAGCCAUUUGUGGCUCAAGUUUAUGAUAUUUACUCCUUAUCUUAUA